rnacentral:rRNA from 1 species
AGGAAAUAGAUACCCCGGUAGUCCACGCCCUAAACGAUGUCGACUAGGUGUUCGGUGAGGAGACUCAUUGAGUACCGCAGCUAAACGCGUGAAGUCGACCGCCUGGGGAGUACGGUCGCAAGAUUAAAACUCAAAGGAAUUGACGGGGACCCGCACAAGCGGUGGAUGAUGUGGAUUAAUUCGAUGCAACGCGAAAACCUUACCUACCCUUGACAUGUACGGAACCCUGCUGAGAGGUGGGGGUGCUCGAAAGAGAGCCGUAACACAGGUGCUGCAUGGCUGUCGUCAGCUCGUGUCGUGAGAUGUUGGGUUAAGUCCCGCAACGAGCGCAACCCUUGUCAUUAGUUGCUACGCAAGAGCACUCUAAUGAGACUGCCGGUGACAAACCGGAGGAAGGUGGGGAUGACGUCAAGUCCUCAUGGCCCUUAUGGGUAGGGCUUCACACGUCAUACAAUGGUCGGUACAGAGGGUUGCCAAGCCGCGAGGUGGAGCCAAUCCCAGAAAGCCGAUCGUAGUCCGGAUCGCAGUCUGC